rnacentral:misc_RNA from 1 species
AAUAGCAGUAACACGUCCGACUCUCCCUCACCCGACACGUAGACACAAGCCAGAGACAACGUAACAUUUUGGCGACGAGGAUGGGAUUCGUCGGUCUCCGUGUCUGUCUGCCUUCCUGACAGCUGCCGUGGAGGACCUCUACUGUGUUGUCGGGCUACGGGAGCGGCGUCGUGACCCUAUUAUUACUACAGCUUCUGACUUAUCACCGUUGCCAUGGAAGGCUUGAACUUUCCGGCCUUUUAUCUGGAACCAUCGGGAACCACUGCUACUCGUUGGGACACCUGGCUACGGAGAUUUGACAAUAUUGUGGUUGCUCAUGCUGUGACUAGUGCUGAUAGGAAGCGUGCGUUGCUUCUUCAUUGUGCGGCAGAAGAAGUGUUUCAAAUUGCUGAAACGUUGCUGCGUGAUGAGGACACGUACGAGCAAUUGAAAACUAAGCUCACUGUACAUUUCGCACCGAAACGCAACGUAGAAUACGAAGUGUUUGUGUUCAGACAGGCCACACAGCAACCAGAGGAACAUUUGGACAAGUUUUAUGUAAGACUCAAAGUGCUAAGUAAGAUGUGGAUCGCGAAAUUAAGUCGCAAAUAAUUCAGAAGUGUUUACUCGAUAAGGUUCGCGACAAGGGGUUAAGUGAUCCGGACAUCUCGCUAGUGAACUUACUGACUUUUGGAUGUACGUUAGAGGCUAUCACAGUGCGCGCACAAGCAAUGGCACCAGUCCAAGUGCACGAGGCACAAGUGUCUGUGAACAGUGUCAGAAACAAAGGUGGGAACAGCCAGAGUUAUGUCCGUCGCCGUGCUAAGGACGGUUCAGUCGAGGCUUCGGCUCAAUAUAGUUACCGCUGUUAUGGGUGUGAUACAGUGCACUUUGAUACAAGAGAGAAAGUGUGUAAGGCUUGGGGGCAGAAGUGCUUUAAGUGUGGCAAACUAAAUAAUUUUGCUAACUUUUGUAAAGCUAGAACAUGGGCGACUCGUACAUGGAGGGCAAACAACCUGCUGGCAGAGCCACACCCAGUGGACGUGACGCCGCCAGAGAACUGUCUUGGUGAAGGCAGAGAGUCGUCCACAGCCGAGGAAACAGGUGAAGUCAUGCCGAUGUACACUCUUGGAUCUACAUUGAAAAAUGAACCUUAUACGUGUGCACUAGAGUUAAAUGGCAUUCCCACACACAUGGAAAUAACUAUCAUCAGUGUCCAACAGCUCAAGAAACUGGAACAAGGUGCUGGGAGCCUUUCAAUCAGUAAAGAUGGUGUACCGCAGCUUCGCACUUACACUAGGCAACUGCUUCAUACUUUGGGGCGAGUUUGGCUCGAAGUUAAGUAUGGCCAGAAAACUAGCAGACUUUCGGCUUUAGUGGCGCCUGGUUCUGGACCUUGCUUCUGGGGAGAGACUGGCUGCACCAGUUACACAUUAAUUGGUCAAAAGUGUGUAAUUUACAAAUUGAUGAUUAUAGAAAUUUGUUUCCAGAACUCUUCACACCAAAUUUAGGAAAACUGAAGAAUUACAAGGCGAAACUGUACAUGGACCAGGACGUUCAAUCCCUGUUCUUCAAAGCCAGGACAGUUCCUUAUGCCCUCCGAGAAAAAGUAGAAGCUGAGAUUGGACGACUGGUGUCUGAUUGGGUACUUAAACCUGUGGAGUAUUCGGACUGGGCAGCUCCCAUCGUUCCCAUUAUGAAGCCUACUGGGGAGGUUAUUCUCGGUGGGUCGAGGGAGUAAUACAACGACAGAUGGGUCCGGUGUCGUUCACGGUGUUACUCCCAGAUGGAAGGACAUGGAGGAGACAUGGGGAUCACCUUAGACGGCGAUAUUCGGGAGGUACAAGACAGGAGGACGAGCCAGACACGGUGACAAGGGAGCCUUCAUCUUCGUGGCAGACACCUGCGGCACACCCACCAUCGCCGGUGCCACCUGCGGCACACCCUCCACCGUCGGUGCCACCUGCAGCACACCCUCCACCGUCGGUGCCACCUGCGGCACACCCUCCACCGUCGGUGCCACCUGUGGCACACCCUCCACCGCCGGUGUCGCCACCCGCGGCUCACCCGCCAACGCCUAUGCCACCUGCCGCACAACCACCACCGCCGGUGCUACCCGCAGCUCACCCUCCAAUGCCGGUGUCACCACGGCUCAUCCACCAUCGGUGCGGGGGAGGCCAGCAUCGCCGGCAGGAGAGGGGCCUGGUUUAAGAAGGUCCAUGAGAAGGAAGGCACCGCCCAUUAGAUUAGGAUAUUAAUGUUUUUCUUAUGUCAUGCUUGUAUGAAGGAAAUGAUUUAAAGGGGAAGGAAUGUUGUAUAUUUAGAUUGUUCUGAAUCUCGAGUAAAUAAUUCAUGGUUGUUGUAUAUUUAGAUUGUGAUUGUUAUUGUUAUCUUAAGAAAUCUCAAAACCUCGAUUCAACGAGUUAUUGUAUAAAGGUGAUGGGUUUUCGUUUGGCAGACGGCUACUGGAAUAAA